rnacentral:lncRNA from 1 species
AGCUAGUUAGCCAGCUAGUUAGCCAGCUAGUUAGCCAGCUGACUGACUAUCUGGUUAACAUUCAGAUAUAGCUCUUGAUUUGUUCUGAAGAAUAAGUGGUCAGGAAGCUCAGAGCCCCGUGGAGGAGGAAGGUCCAGGUAGAUGCUCAGGAAGCUCGAAGGUCCAGGUAGAUGUUCAGGAAGCUCAGAGCCCCAUGGAGGAGGAAGGUCCAGGUAGAUGUUCAGGAAGCUCAGAGCCCCAUGGAGGAGGAGGAAGGUCCAGGUAGAUGUUCAGGAAGCUCAGAGCCCCAUGGAGGAGGAAGGUCCAGGUAGAUGUUCAGGAGGAAGGUCCAGGUAGAUGUUUAGGUAGCUCAGAGCCCCGUGGAGGAGGAGGAAGGUCCAGGUAGAUGUUCAGGAGGAAGGUCCAGGUAGAUGUUUAAUGUGUGGAUGAUGUUGUGUGUUCCAGUCAGGAGGAGCCUCUAUGUAGAGGGGUCUACGCCCCCAGGACCACUACUCAUUCCCCCCUACCAGGGUGGGGGAGACCAGCACACUGAAGGUCAACAUGAGAAACAACUCCUUGGAAACGCAUGGGAUCCCAACGCUACAUCCACCUGCCAGUCCAGUUCAAGCCGGUUGUCACCGGCAACCACUCCAGCCAGCUGUUGGUUCAGACGGAUACCAGUGGAAACAUCGCUAUCCAGCUGACUGGUGAAGCCCUGGCCUGAGGACGUCUGGGUCAGGGAGGACUGCUGGGUCUGGGUCAGGGAGGACUGCUGGGUCAGGGAGGACUGCUGGGUCUGGGUCAGGGAGGACUGCUGGGUCUGGGUCAGGGAGGACUGCUGGGUCUGGGUCAGGGAGGACUGCUGGGUCUGGGUCAGGGAGGACUGCUGGGUCUGGGUCUGGGAGGACUGCUGGGUCUGGGUCAGGGAGGACGUCUGGGUCUGGGAGGACUGCUGGGUCUGGGUCUGGGAGGACUGCUGGGUCUGGGUCAGGGAGGACUGCUGGGUCUGGGUCAGGGGAGGACUGCUGGGUCUGGGUCAGGGAGGACUGCUGGGUCUGGGUCAGGGAGGACUGCUGGGUCUGGGUCAGGGAGGACUGCUGGGUCUGGGUCAGGGAGGACUGCUGGGUCUGGGUCAGGGAGGACUGCUGGGUCUGGGUCAGGGAGGACUGCUGGGUCUGGGUCUGGGAGGACUGCUGGGUCUGGGUCAGUGAGGACAGCUUGAUGUGGUUACCAUGGUGGGGUAGAUGGGUAAUGAACUCUCUCCCAGUGGACAGCUUGAUGUGGUUACCAUGGUGGGAUAGAUGGGUAAUGAACCCUCUCCCAGUGGACAGCUUGAUGUGGUUACCAUGGUGGGAUAGAUGGGUAAUGAACUCUCUCCCAGUGGACAGCUUGAUAUCCUCUGGGGGUCUACAGCUCUAUAUCCUAUCCUCUGGGGGUCUACAUAGAGCCAGCAGACUACAGCUCUAUAUCCUCUGGGGGUCUACAUAGAGCCAACAGACUACAGCUCUAUAUUCUAUCCUCUGGGGUCUGCAGCUCUAUAUCCUAUCCUAUGGGGGUCUACAGCUCUAUAUCCUCUGGGGGUCUACAGCUCUAUAUCCUAUCCUCUGGGGGUCUACAUAGAGCUAGCAGACUACAGCUCUAUAUCCUAUCCUCUGGGGGUCUACAUAGAGCUAGCAGACUACAGCUCUAUAUCCUGUCAUCUGGGGGUCUACAGCUCUAUAUCCUAUCCUCUGGGGGUCUGCAUAGAGCUAGCAGACUACAGCUCCAUAGCCUAUCCCCUGGGGGUCUACAUAGAGCUAGCAGUCUACAGCUCUAUAUCCUAUCCUCUGGGGGUCUACAGCUCUAUAUCCUAUCCUCUGGGGGUCUACAGCUCUAUAUCCUAUCCUCUGGGGGUCUACAUAGAGCCAGCAGACUACAGCUCUAUAUCCUGUCCUCUGGGGGUCUGCAGCUCUAUAUCCUAUCCUCUGGGGGUCUACAGCUCUAUAUCCUAUCCUCUGGGGGUCUACAGCUCAAUAUCCUAUCCUCUGGGGGUCUACAGCUCUAUAUCCUAUCCUCUGGGGGUCUACAGCUCUAUAUCCUAUCCUCUGGGGGUCUACAGCUCUAUAUCCUAUCCUCUGGGGUCUACAGCUCUAUAUCCUAUCCUCUGGGGGUCUACAUAGAGCCAGCAGACUACAGCUCUAUAUCCUGUCCUCUGGGGGUCUGCAGCUCUAUAUCCUAUCCUCUGGUGGUCUGCAGCUCUAUAUCCUAUCCUCUGGGGGUCUACAUAGAGCUAGCAGACUACAGCUCUAUAUCCUGUCCUCUGGGGGUCUACAGCUCUAUAUCCUAUCCUCUGGGGGUCUGCAUAGAGCUAGCAGACUACAGCUCUAUAGCCUAUCCCCUGGGGGUCUAUAUAGAGCCAGCAGUCUACAGCUCUAUAUCCUAUCCUCUGGGGGUCUACAGCUCUAUAUCCUAUCCUCUGGGGGUCUACAUAGAGCCAGCAGACUACAUCCUGUCCUCUGGGGGUCUGCAGCUCUAUAUCCUAUGCUCUGGGGGUCUGCAGCUCUAUAUCCUAUCCUCUGGGGGUCUACAGCUCUAUAUCCUAUCCUCUGGGGGUCUACAGCUCAAUAUCCUAUCCUCUGGGGGUCUACAGCUCUAUAUCCUAUCCUCUGGGGGUCUGCAGCUCUAUAUCCAAUCCUCUGGGGUCUACAGCUCUAUAUCCAAUCCUCUGGGGGUCUACAGCUCUAUAUCCUAUCCUCUGGGGGUCUACAGCUCUAUAUCCUAUCCUCUGGGAGUCUACAGCUCUAUCCUAUCCUCUGGGGGUCUACAGCUCUAUAUCCCUAUCCUCUGGGGGUCUACAUAGAGCCAGCAGACUACAGCUCUAUAUCCUAUCCUCUGGGGGUCUACAGCUCUAUAUCCUGUCCUCUGGGGGUCUACAGCUCUAUAUCCUGUCCUCUGGGGGUCUACAUAGAGCUAGCAGACUACAGCUCUAUAUCCUGUCCUCUGGGGGUCUACAGCUCUAUAUCCUAUCCUCUGGGGGUCUACAUAGAGCUAGCAGACUACAGCUCUAUAUCCUGUCCUCUGGGGGUCUACAGCUCUAUAUCCUGUCCUCUGGGGGUCUACAGCUCUAUAUCCUGUCCUCUGGGGGUCUACAUAGAGCUAGCAGUCUACAGCUCUAUAUCCUAUCCUCUGGGAGUC